rnacentral:misc_RNA from 1 species
CCUGCAGCCUGCCCUCUGGUGCGGCUGCGGGCUCUCUGGCGCCGGUGGACAGGGCUUGGCUGGCGCUGUGCCGAAGAGACGUAUAGCCAUGCUCACGCCUGGACCAGCCCACUACGAGUCCUGCCCGCGUAUUCAGCACGUACACGCAUCCACCAUCUCUUCUCCUGCUGUUACUGCGCUGCGGUGAUGUCGUGCGUAGUUCUGGGCCUCGGCUGCUGUGUAUGCGCAGUAGAAUGGCAGUGGGCUGGGCGACGCCGAAGGGCGUCGGUGGACCCCGCUCCCUGUCGUUGCCGCCGUGCGACACAGCGGUGGGUGGGCUGCGGUUACGUAUGCGUGUAUAGGCGCUGACUUGUUCGUGGUGGGGUGGACACGUUGGAAACAAAAGAUAACCUUAUCUUCGCGUCUGGCUGCCACUCAGAACUGUGCCUUUGAUUGCUUUCUGCCCCUCUUUUGCUAUUCUAUUUCAACCCUGUGGGCUCCCCGACAGGAGUCGUGAAAAGGUCAUGCCGGCACAGCACAAGCGGGCCUCUGAUGAGAAAAGCAUCGAGGGGGGAGAUGGACACUAGGACACAUAGAGGAAGCAGCAGCAAACAAAACAGCUGAAACAAUGGGUUUAAGAUGUCUGCGUAGAACAUUCUUGCUUGCGUGUGUGUGCUCGACUUUUUUUUUUCUGCUUUUCUUUUGGUUGUGCGUUACUUUCUCCGGCACUCACCGUUCCUCCCCCUUCCAACGCUUUCGGUCAG